UAAGAUUUUAUUGAUUUUCUUUUAUCGUUCCNUAGGUAUACUUAUCCCGAUCAGAAAACUGAAGGAAAGUUUGUUUUACAUGUUGGAAUUUGGAUUGUAUUUACGCAUAAGAUUUGAAUUUGAGUGGGUAGAAACAAAAGCCACUUUCGAAGUAUCCAAACAAAUAGAAAAGUUUACUUAUCCUAAUACAAUGAACAAAGUAUAAAAUAUUUUAACUUAGAUCAAAUUUGCAUAGGCCGUUGUGAAAAUCAAGAAAUUAUGGGUUCAGAGAUCUGAAAACCUUAAAACCCAACCAGAAAAAAUUAUCAACCUAACUAAAAUCAAUUAAAAAUACUUUUUUAGCAUUAAGAACUCGAUCAACAAGUCAAACAGUUGAAAGCAUCAUUUCAGUUCAAUGAAAACAAUUAUUACAAUACAAAGAAAAAGAAGACAUGUUUAGCUGAACCCAUGUAUCAAAUACCAAAACAACAAAAACCAAUUUAAACUGAUAUUAACUCAUCGAUUUGAAAUCAUAUUCAAAACACAAAUAAGCUUCAGAAUGUCUCUAAAAAGUUAAAGCUAACACUACAAUCAGAACUCCAAAAACCUAUGUUGUCUAUUACAAAAUUCAUCAAACAAAACAAAACAAUACAAUAACAGAACAAAUGAAAAGCGCUAUCAUAAUUCAAACAAAGAAACUUGCCUAGAAGAGAGAGCAGAGAGACUAACCGGUGAUAGCACGGAGUCCAAAUAAUACAUGGAGUGAAAUUGUGCAAAGCUAUCCAUGGAUGAAUCUGAGGGAAAAACUGAACUUUUUAGUGGGUAAUUGUUUGUGUAGUGAGCUUGAAAUUGAACGGCGAUGAAGAAAGUAGAAUAGAUCCCCUCGACACACUUCGUUGACAACAAUACAAAAGAAGAGCAAAAGUAUUUUCUGAGGAUU
rnacentral:lncRNA from 1 species